GAAGCAAGUGAUGAUAGAAAAGACAGGGACAUCAGGAUUCCAUUUGGAGUAAUGAUAGACUUAGUCUAAUGGGAAUCUCUCUGAUGCUCA